CACCUGUGACGACAAAUCUAAGGCUUGUUUCUCAAGAACAUUCGCAGUGGCUGCCUAAGAGCUUUUGCCUUCACCAGGCUUGAGAGCUUGUGCUGCUUUUAUCCUUCCUUAGAUGUCUUAGGCU
rnacentral:snoRNA from 1 species